UACGAGAGGCCCAAACGUUAUUCGGAAUUACUGGGCUUAAAGAGUUCGUAGGCGGCAUUACAAGUAGGGUGUGAAAGCCCUCGGCUCAACCGAGGAAUUGCGCUCUAAACUGUCGUGCUAGAGGAACCUAGAGGUGAGCAGAACAGAUGGUGGAGCGGUGAAAUGCGUUGAUAUCAUCUGGAAUACCGGAGGCGAAGGCGGCUCACUGGGGGUUUUCUGACGCUGAGGAACGAAAGCCAGGGUAGCGAACGGG
rnacentral:rRNA from 1 species